CAAAAUAUAGCUUAAUCAAAGCAUCUCGUUUACACCGAGAAGUUAUCUGUGCAAUCCGGAUUAUUUUGA
rnacentral:tRNA from 1 species